UACGUAGGGGGCGAGCGUUAUCCGGAAUUAUUGGGCGUAAAGAGCGUGUAGGCGGUCCGCUAAGUCGGAUGUGAAAUCCCAGGGCUCAACCCUGGAACUGCAUUCGAUACUGGCGGACUUGAGGAAGGUAGAGGAGAGUGGAAUUUCCGGUGUAGCGGUGGAAUGCGCAGAUAUCGGAAGGAACACCGAUGGCGAAGGCAGCUCUCUGGGCCUUUCCUGACGCUGAGACGCGAAAGCAUGGGUAGCAAACAGG
rnacentral:misc_RNA from 1 species